UACGGAGGGUGCAAACGUUGCUCGGAAUCAUUGGGCGUAAAGCGCACGUAGCGGCUCAGCAAGUCGGGUGUGAAAGCCCUCGGCUCAACCGAGGAAGUGCAUUCGAUACUCCGGAGCUUGAGUCCUGGAGAGGAAGGCGGAAUUCUCGGUGUAGAGGUGAAAUUCGUAGAUAUUAGGAAGAACACCAGUGGCGAAGGCGGCUCACUGGCCCGGUACUGACGCUGAGGCGCGAAAGCGUGGGGAGCAAACAGG
rnacentral:rRNA from 1 species